rnacentral:rRNA from 1 species
UACGAAGGGGGCGAGCGUUGUUCGGAUUUACUGGGCGUAAAGGGCUCGUAGGCGGCCAACUAAGUCAGACGUGAAAUCCCCAGGCUCAACCUGGGAACUGCGUCUGAUACUGGAUGGCUUGAAUCCGGGAGAGGGAUGCAGAAUUCCAGGUGUAGCGGUGAAAUGCGUAGAUAUCUGGAGGAAUACCGGUGGCGAAGGCGGCAUCCUGGACCGGCAUUGACGCUGAGGAGCGAAAGCCAGGGGAGCAAACGGG